rnacentral:rRNA from 1 species
UCAGAUGAACGCUGGCGGCAUGCCUUACACAUGCAAGUCGAACGGCAGCACGGGGGCAACCCUGGUGGCGAGUGGCGAACGGGUGAGUAAUACAUCGGAACGUGUCCUGUAGUGGGGGAUAGCCCGGCGAAAGCCGGAUUAAUACCGCAUACGAUCUGUGGAUGAAAGCGGGGGAUCUUAGGACCUCGCGCUACAGGGGCGGCCGAUGGCAGAUUAGCUAGUUGGUGGGGUAAAGGCCUACCAAGGCGACGAUCUGUAGCUGGUCUGAGAGGACGACCAGCCACACUGGGACUGAGACACGGCCCAGACUCCUACGGGAGGCAGCAGUGGGGAAUUUUGGACAAUGGGCGCAAGCCUGAUCCAGCAAUGCCGCGUGUGUGAAGAAGGCCUUCGGGUUGUAAAGCACUUUUGUCCGGAAAGAAAACUUCCUGGUUAAUACCUGGGGAGGAUGACGGUACCGGAAGAAUAAGCACCGGCUAACUACGUGCCAGCAGCCGCGGUAAUACGUAGGGUGCAAGCGUUAAUCGGAAUUACUGGGCGUAAAGCGUGCGCAGGCGGUUCGCUAAGACAGAUGUGAAAUCCCCGGGCUUAACCUGGGAACUGCAUUUGUGACUGGCGGGCUAGAGUAUGGCAGAGGGGGGUAGAAUUCCACGUGUAGCAGUGAAAUGCGUAGAGAUGUGGAGGAAUACCGAUGGCGAAGGCAGCCCCCUGGGCCAAUACUGACGCUCAUGCACGAAAGCGUGGGGAGCAAACAGGAUUAGAUACCCUGGUAGUCCACGCCCUAAACGAUGUCAACUAGUUGUCGGGUCUUCAUUGACUUGGUAACGUAGCUAACGCGUGAAGUGACCGUCC